GACGAACGCUGGCGGCGUGCUUAACACAUGCAAGUCGAACGGAAAGGCGCUGCUUUUGUGGGGUUCUCGAGUGGCGAACGGGUGAGUAACACGUGAGUAACCUGCCCUUGACUUUGUGAUAACUUCAGGGAACUGGGGCUCAUAUCGGGUAUGAUCUCUUGCUGCAUGGUGGGGGUUGGUAAGUUUCGGCGGUUGUGGCUCGACUCGCGGGUUAUCAGCUUGAUGGGGGGGUAGUGGCGUACCAAGGCUUUGACGGGUAGCCGGCAUGGGAGGGUGACCGGCCACAAUAGGACUGAGAGAAGGAGCAGUCGGCUACGGGCGGCAGCAGUGGGAAAUCUUGCACAGUGGGCGGAAGCCUGAUGCAGCAAUGCCGCGUGCGGGAUGACGGCUUUCGGGUUGUAAACAGCUUUCGAAUGUGACGAAGCGGGAGUGACGGUAAUGGGUAAAGAAGCAACGGCUAACUACGUG
rnacentral:rRNA from 1 species